rnacentral:rRNA from 1 species
UACAGAGGUCUCAAGCGUUGUUCGGAUUCAUUGGGCGUAAAGGGCGCGUAGGCGGCGGGGUAAGUCGGGUGUGAAAUCUCAGAGCUCAACUCUGAAAUGGCACUUGAUACUGCUCUGCUAGAGGACUGGAGAGGAGAUUGGAAUUCACGGUGUAGCAGUGAAAUGCGUAGAUAUCGUGAGGAAGACCGGUGGCGAAGGCGGAUCUCUGGACAGUUCCUGACGCUGAGGCGCGAAGGCCAGGGAGCAAACGGG